AAUCAUAUCAUAGAUCUUAGCAUGGUAGUUUAGAUUAGAUCUUGUGCAUGUAAUAUAGGUUAAAUUGUUUAAUCUAUCAAGAUCCGCUGUAAAAUUUUAAAAUUGCAUGCAUAGAACCAAUAUUUUCUUCAAUUGGUAUCAGAGUCUCAUUUAAUAUGAUAUAAUUUCUUAUAUAUUUAGAUCUAAUUUUAUGGUAUUUAGAUUAGAUCUAAGUAAGUUUUUUUUUUAGAUCUGAUAUUUGAUCAGUCCUUAUAUGUUAGAUUAGAUGAUUUGAGUAGCAAAGUACUCAGAUUGGAUAAUCACCAAACCAUCC
rnacentral:lncRNA from 1 species